GAUGAACGCUGGCGGCGUGCCUAAUACAUGCAAGUCGAGCGAAUGGAUUAAGAGCUUGCUCUUAUGAAGUUAGCGGCGGACGGGUGAGUAACACGUGGGUAACCUGCCCAUAAGACUAGGAUAACUCCGGGAAACCGGGGCUAAUACCGGAUAACAUUUUGAACCGCAUGGUUCGAAAUUGAAAGGCGGCUUCGGCUGUCACUGAUGGAUGGACCCGCGUCGCAUUAGCUAGUUGGUGAGGUAACGGCUCACCAAGGCAACGAUGCGUAGCCGACCUGAGAGGGUGAUCGGCCACACUGGGACUGAGACACGGCCCAGACUCCUACGGGAGGCAGCAGUAGGGAAUCUUCCGCAAUGGACGAAAGUCUGACGGAGCAACGCCGCGUGAGUGAUGAAGGCUUUCGGGUCGUAAAACUCUGUUGUUAGGGAAGAACAAGUGCUAGUUGAACAAGCUGGCACCUUGACGGUACCUAACCAGAAAGCCACGGCUAACUACGUGCCAGCCGCCGCAGUAA
rnacentral:rRNA from 1 species